GGAAGCUUAUAAGAUGAGCCAGCUGUUCUUGGGUGGCCAUUUUCAGUUAAGUGACAUGCUAACAUAAAUUAAGCAUAUGUGGUUUGAGAACUGUUUUGUAAAGAACUUCCUUACAAGUGAAUCUAGACUUUUUUUUUUUUUUUUUUUUUGAGAUGGAGUUUCAUUCUUGUUGCCCAGGCUGGAGUGCAAUGGCGUGAUCUCAGCUCAUUGCAACCUCUGCCUCCCAGGUUCAGGUGAUUCUCCUGCCUAAGCCUCCUGAGUAGCUGGGAUUACAGGCACUCGCCACAACGCCCAGUUAAGUUUUGUAUUUUUAGUAGAGACGGGGUUUCACCAUGUUGGCCAGGCUGGUCUCAAACUCCUGACCUCAGGUGAUCCACCCGCCUUGGCCUCUGUAAUUGAUAGAGUUACAGACGUGAGCCACCAAGCCCAGCCCACUAGACAAGUUUUAAGAUCAUGUGCUUCCCAACAUGAAGAGUUCAAAAAUAGACCAGAGGACCAUCAUCCUGGGUGUUGUGGAGGAAAUUCCACACUGAGUGAGUGGUGAAUGCUGCUGACCUGGAAGGUGAUCCUAUGCCAAAAAUGGAUGGUUUUUGGACCAGUCGUCAUGGCAUAAUUACAAUAGCCUGGGCAUGUAAGAAGCUUGGAAAUCAUCACUCAUGUAUUUACAAGAAGAAAAAAACUGAACAAACUGAAAAUCAUUGGCUCUCCAUCAACACUCAGAGGACUGAAGCUGCAUGGCAAUUUGACACCCUGAAAUCUGGAGAGACAGAUGGAUACAGAGAGUCACAGCCAAGAUCUCACCAGGAGCAGAUGCCUCUGGAGCCACAAACUGGUUUUAUUUCAUCCUUGAAAGUUUCUAUGAAAAUCAUCUUCCUAGAAAUAGAAGAGCUGACAAUAACAAGCCCUAAACCUAAGCUAAGAAACCUGAAUCCUAGUUCUGCCUGUGUCAUUAACUAUGGACCUUGG
rnacentral:lncRNA from 1 species